CCCUACGGGGGGCAGCAAUAGGGAAUCUUCCACAAUGGGCGAAAGCCUGAUGGAGCAACGCCGCGUGGGUGAAGAAGGUCUUCGGAUCGUAAAACCCUGUUGUUAGAGAAGAAAGUGCGUGAGAGUAACUGUUCACGUUUCGACGGUAUCUAACCAGAAAGCCACGGCUAACUACGUGCCAGCAGCCGCGGUAAUACGUAGGUGGCAAGCGUUAUCCGGAUUUAUUGGGCGUAAAGGGAACGCAGGCGGUCUUUUAAGUCUGAUGUGAAAGCCUUCGGCUUAACCAGAGUAGUGCAUUGGAAACU
rnacentral:rRNA from 1 species